UCGGGAAUUUUGGGCAAUGGGCGAAAGCCUGACCCAGCAACGCCGCGUGAGGGAUGAAGUAUUUCGGUAUGUAAACCUCGAAAGAAUGGGAAGAAUAAAUGACGGUACCAUUUAUAAGCUCCGGCUAACUACGUGCCAGCAGCCGCGGUAAUACGUAGGGGGCAAGCGUUGUCCGGAUUUACUGGGUGUAAAGGGCGCGCAGGCGGGAUAAAAAGUCAGUGGUGAAAUCCUACAGCUUAACUGUAGAACUGCCUUUGAUACUUUUAUUCUUGAGUUCGGGAGAGAGAGACGGAAUUCCAGGUGUAGUGGUGAAAUACGUAGAUAUCUGGAAGAACACCAGUUGCGAAGGCGGUCUCUUGGUCCGACACUGACGCUGAGGCGCGAAAGCGUGG
rnacentral:rRNA from 1 species